GAGCGCAAUGGAUAGCGUGUUGGACUUCCAAUUCGAAAGGUCGUGGGUUCGAAUAUCACCCG
rnacentral:tRNA from 1 species